GAUGAACGCUGGCGGCGUGCCUAAUACAUGCAAGUCGAGCGAACAGAUGAGGAGCUUGCUCCUCUGACGUUAGCGGCGGACGGGUGAAUAACACGUGGAUAACCUACCUAUAAGACUGGGAUAACUUCGGGAAACCGGAGCUAAUACCGGAUAAUAUAUUGAACCGCAUGGUUCAAUAGUGAAAGACGGUUUUGCUGUCACUUAUAGAUGGAUCCGCGCCGCAUUAGCUAGUUGGUAAGGUAACGGCUUACCAAGGCAACGAUGCGUAGCCGACCUGAGAGGGUGGUCGGCCACACUGGAACUGAGACACGGUCCAGACUCCUACGGGAGGCAGCAGUAGGGAAUCUUCCGCAAUGGGCGAAAGCCUGACGGAGCAACGCCGCGUGAGUGAUGAAGGUCUUCGGAUCGUAAAACUCUGUUAUUAGGGAAGAACAAAUGUGUAAGUAACUAUGCACGUCUUGACGGUACCUAAUCAGAAAGCCACGGCUAACUACGUG
rnacentral:rRNA from 1 species